UUUUUGUAGAGACAGGACUUCUCUAUGUUGCCCAGGCUGGUCUUGAACUCCUGGGCUCAAGUGAUCUUCUGCCUCGGCUUUCUAAAGUGCUGGGAUUACAGGCAGGAGCCACCGCGCCCUGCCCUAAAACCUUUUCUAUCUUACUUUGUACUAUUUGUUGUCCAGAAGCAGUCAGCUUUUCCAACCCUGAAAGACCUAUGAUCUUUGUUCUUUCUCUAUUUUCUAUUUCUGUUGAAAUCCAGCAUAUUCUCACCUAAACUCACCUCUUUCUUGGAAUACUUUAUAAAGACAACAGUGUGAGCCACCGCGCCCAGCUGGGACUCUUCUUUUUGCUUCCUAUUCCUGUAAGGGUCACUCUGGCAACACUCCUUUACCCAGACAGUAGCAGGUCCUUCUUGUAGCAGCUGCUGAAUCCACUUUGUAGUUUUUCCCAACAAUUGCCAAACCAGUUCCAUUGUGUUCCACUCAGAGACACCAGCACCAGCUGGGUAGUAUCCUGUCUUCAGAGGUCUGAGUUCUUCAAGCUCAAAGACUAGAUGGAGCAUCAGACUUAGAGGUCCGAGUUUCAGCUCUGCAGAGGCCCUCCUCUAAGGUUUUAACUUUGAGUAAUUCCAAACUCUUGCCUUUGUACUCUUAGCCCGAGGAGUUACAGAUGCUUCUUGCUGUCUAUUGCUGCCUCCAUGAUAUCUUAGUUUUCUUUUUACCCUUAGAGUUAUCUAGUUAACAAUUUAUUCCUAGUUAACUAUUCUAACCAUUCUUUAUAUUAAAUUCUCUCUGUCAGUGACUGAUGUGGUUUCUCUCUCAUUGCCUGGACCCUGACUGAUACAGAAAUUGGUACUAGGAGUGGCCCCAGGAAAAAGACCCCAAAAGAUGGGAUUAGGAAAUCAGCUUGGCUGUGUCAUUGGGUUUGAAUGUGCUGAGCUCCUUGCCAAUGAGAAUGUGAUCCAUAGCAUGCUGUGGCCUCAUAAUUAAUGAAAUCAUCGCCUGUGGUUAUUUGUGAUGAAGUGCCAACCAAAGGAAGUGUCUCGGGGGCCCAAAUGGUGGUUGCACUAACUGUUAUGGCAGUGAUAAUGACUAUAGGGACUAUGAUAUGGGACCGAUUCUUCCAGUUGCAUCAUGGGCCUUGCAGGAAAAAAAAAAAAAAUUACCAGCUCAGGUCUUUAAACUCUCAGCUGAACUCGUGGUCAGAGAACUGUAGGGCUUCUCUAAUAGCCAUAAAAUAAUCUCUUAUUUCCUGUAGCCACCAGACUGAUUUGCUACAAAUAAAACAUGAAAAUUGUGCAUAUUGCAGAAUUCCAUCAGCUGAAUUCAGUUUAACUAAGUCUUUCCUGUGAUUCAGGAGUAGGACCCUGAAACUUGGAAUAAGGACAUCUGAUUUGACUCAGACAAAUGUGAAAAUCUUAGAUUUAUCCUUCUCUUUGAGCUUCUUUUGCUAGUAGAAGCAUCUUGUUGACUUGUGUCUCAGGAAACCUGGCUUCCCUUGCUUGAAAAAUCUUGUAAUAACUUCUGGGGCAGGAUAUAUACCUUGCAAAGAUAUGCCAUUCUCCCCAAGAUCCACCCAAGCCACCCCUUGUUGCCACCAGACCCACAACUAGGAUGCAAUCUCAGCAUUCUCCAAGGAGGCAAGUAGAAAAUCUGACUCAGAAGGAAAUAACUUACACAUCACAAUCAUUUCAAGAUUUUGCUGACAUAUAGACAGAAAUCUGGGGAAUACACAUGGGAGUGGAUUCUUAGAAUGUUAGACCUAUAAGGAUGAAAUAUAACACAGGACUGAGCCAAAUGUAUUGAUGUGUAUGCACUUGUCAGAGAUUCUGAAUUUAAAGUGUUACUUCACAUAGCUGCAAGUGGCUCUAAUGGCUUACUUGGUUGGUUGACUGAAAAUCUGACUUAAUGUUAUUUCUGUUAUUUUAUUUUAUUUAUGUAUUUAUUUUUGAGAUAGGGUCUUGCUUUGAUGCCCGGGCUGGUACAAUUUCAGCUCACUGCAGCCUCGACUUCCCAGGCUCAAGCAAGCCUCCUGCCUCAGCCUUCUGAGUAGUUGAGACUACAGGCGUGUGCCACCACGCCCAGCUAAUUUUUUUUUUUUUUUUUUUGGAUGUAGUUUCACUCUUGUCGCCCAGGCUGGAGUGCAAUGGCGCAAUCUCAGCUCACUGCAACCUCCACCUCCCAGGUUUAAGCAAUUCUCCUGCCUCAGACUCCCAAGUAGCUAGGGUUACAGGCAUGCACCGUCACACCUGGCUAAUUUUUGUAUUAUUAGUAGAGACGGGGUUUCACCAUGUUGGCCAGGCUGGUCUCAAACUCCUGACCUCUGGUGAUCCACCCGCCUUUGCCUCUCAAAGUGCUGGAUUACAGGCGUGAGCCACCGCACCCAGCCACGCCCAGCUAAUUUUUGUCUUUUCUGUAGAGACGGGAUUUUGCCAUGUUGCCUGGGCUGGUCUCAAACUCCUGGGCUCAGGCGAUCCACCUGCCUCAGCCUCUCAAAGUUCUGGGAUUACAAAUGUGAGCCACUGUGCCCAGCUAGUACCUAUGUUUAAUGAGGCUAAGAUGGGGAGAAUUCACUGGAGAGGACAAAAUUCAAAGGACCAGAGAGAAAAGAAUGUUGUAAUAAAUUUAUCUAUGUGAACUUUGUGUCCUCUCUGUCUCCCAAGAGGGCCCAGAGGACACUCUGUUCACCCCAGCAUUGAGAAAUGUAUUGGUGAGGGGAGCAUCUGCAUUCUCAGAAAGCUCUGUGGGGACUCUCCUCUGUGAUUCAAGAAUGAUAGUUGGAAAUUCUGCCAUUGAGAUGGGCUCCCUAGUUUCAGUGGAGACGAGAGGAUCUCAGAGUAUCAGAGGCCAAGUAGUAGUGCUUAACCGACAAAGACAAGGUAGAUGCAUUUGCCAUCAAGAGCAGUAGAGUCUUUGUGAGAAUCUAGUGGCUAGAAAUAAGAUUUGAAUCACCAACAAUGGGGAAGCAUGGCCUCUUAUCCAGUUUUUAGACCUAAGUCAGUUAACAGACCUAGAGCCCCUUGAUUGAAAGGGAGGCCAAGUCCCCUUAAGAAAGGACCCAGCAACACUGCCGAAAUAUAUAUGGUAAAUUUUCCCUCAAAUUUUCUUCAUAACAUCUAUAACCCUUUUCUAGAGCAACUGUGCGGUGGGGAAAAGGAAACAUCCAGACCUUUAGGGGAUUACUAAAUAUUGGCUCUGAACUGAUGCUAAUUCCUGGGGACCCAAAAUGCCACUGUGGCCUACCAGUUAAAGUAGGGGCUCUUGGUGGCCUCUUUGGACAUAUCUUGGGGUUAUCUCCCAAGUUUCUGAAUUUAUAAGUGGAAUUGACAUAUUUAACAACUAACAUGGGUUCAGUUGGCUCUCUGACCCAUAGAGUAAGGGCCCUUAUGGUGGGAAAGGCCAAGUAGAUGCCUCUGGGCCUUCCCCCUCUCUGUGAAGACAGCAAACUAGAAGUAAACUGCAUACCUGGGUGUUGUGAAUUGAACUGUGACCACCCUCCACACCCCCUACAAAUCCAUAUGUUGAAGCCCUAAGCCUCCAAUGUGACUGUAUCUAGAGAUAGGGCCUACCCUAAUCCGAUAGGACUUGGGUCUUUCUAAAAAGAGAAAGAGGCCGGGCGCGGUGCCUCACCCCUGUAAUCACAGCCCUUUGAGAGGCCGAGGUGGGUGGAUCACUUGAGGUCAGGAGUUCAAGACCAGCCUGACCAACAUGGUGAAAUCCCGUCUCUACUAAAAAAAUAUAAAAUUAAGGCCGGGCGCGGUGGCUCACACCUGUAAUCCCAGCACUUUGGGAGGCCAAGGCGGGCAGAUCAUGAGGUCAGCAGAUCGAGACCAUCCUGGCUAACAGGGUGAAACCCCAUCUCUAUUAAAAAUACAAAAAAAUAGCCGGGCAUGGUGGCAUGCGCCUGUAGUCCCAACUACUCGGGAGGCUGAGGCAGGAGAAUCGCUUGAACCCAGGAGGCAGAGGUUGCAGUGAACCAAGAUCGCGCCACUGCACUCCAGCCUGGGCAACAGAGCAAGUCUCCGUCUCAAAAAAAAAAAAUUAUAUAUAUAUAAUAUAUAUAUAUAAAUAGCCGGGCAUGGUGGCACAUGCGUGUAAUCCCAGCUACUUGGGAGGCUGAGGCAGGAGAAUCACUUGAACCCAGGAGGCAAAGGUUGCAGUGAGCUGAGAUUGCAUCAUUGCACUCCAGCUUGGGCAACAAGAGCGAAACUCUGUCUCAAAAAAAAAAAAAAGAAAGAAAGAAAGAAAAACAAGAAGAGGAAGAAACACUUAGAGUAUUUGUGCACAGAAAAAAGGCCAUGUGAAAAUAGAGUAAGAAGGCUGUCAUCUGCAAGCCAUAGAGAGGUCUCACUGUAAACCAACCCUGCUGGCACCUUGAUCUUGGACUUCCAGCCUCUAGAACUGUGACAAGAUAAAUUUCUGUUCUUCACAUCACCCAGCCUGUGGCAUUCUGUUCUGGCAGUCCUAGCUGACUAAUACGUUGGAGGAGUUGCAGAUAUUAGUGUCACCAUCAAAGACUUGAAAGAUGCUAAGGUGAUGCAUUCUGUCAUUUUCCUAUUUAACACACAUGUUUGGCCAAUAAAUAAGGCAACUGGAUCUUGGAGAAUGAAAGUAGUCCCGGGUACUCAGGAGGCUGAGGCAGGAGGACUGCUUGAGUUCAGGAGUUCUGAGCUAUACUGCACUAUUCUGAUAGGGUGUCUGCACUAAGUUUGGCAUCAAUAUGGUGAUCUCCUGGGAGCGAGGGGCCGCCAGUUUGCCUAAGGAGGGGUGAAUCAGCCCAAGUCAGAAAUGGAGCAGGUCAAAACUCCUGUGAUGAUCAAUACUGAGAUAGCACCUGUAAAUAGCCACUGCAUUUGAGCCUGGGCAACAUAGUAAGACCCUGGUGCUUGUCAUAAAAAAAAAAGUGGCCAGGCACAGUGACUCACACCUGUAAUCCAGCACUUUGGGAGGCUGAGGCAGGAGGAUCACUUUAGCCCAGGAGUUCAAGACCACCCUGGGCAACAUAGGGAGAUCCUGUCUCUACAAAAAAUUUAAAAACUAGUCAGGCAUGGUGGUACACACGUGUGGUCCCAGCUACUUUGGAGGCUAAGGUGGGAAGAUUGUUUGAGCCCAGGAGGUCGAGGCUACAUUGAUCCAUGUUCGCACCACUGCACUCCAGCCUGGGCAACAGAGUAAGACCCUGUCUCCAAAAAAAAAAGUAUAAUAAAUUUUAUCAAAUAAUAACUCCAAUUACAGCUGCUGUUCCAGUUGUAGCAGUGCACCUGGCAUUUGGUGUUCAGCUGUUGACCUGGCACAUGAUUUUUUUCCUCCAUGUAGUUUGUAAGAAAUACCAGGAGCCACCGGGCAUGGUGGCUCAUGCCUGUAAUCCCAACACUUUGGAGGCCAAGGCGGGCGGAUCACCUGAGGUCAGGAGUUCGAGACCAGCCUGACCAACAUGGAGAAACCCCGUCUCUACUAAAAAUACAAAAUUAGCCAGGAGAGGUGGCUCAAGCCUGUAAUCCCAGCUACGCAGGAGGCUGAGGCAGGAGCCUGGGAGGCGGAGGUUGCAGUGAGCCAAGAUUGCGCCAUUAUACUCCAGCCUGGGCGACAAGAGUGAAACUCCAUCUCAAAAAAAAAAAAAAAAUGAAAGAAGGCCAGGCGCGGUGGCUCACACCUGUAAUCCCAGCACUUUGGGAGGCUGAGGCGGGUGAAUCACAAGGUCAGGAGUUCGAGACCAGUCUGGUCAACAUGGUGAAACGCUGUCUCUGCUAAAAAUACAAAAAAAUUAGCUGGGCGUGGUGGCAGGUGCCUGUAAUCCUAGCUACUCAGGAGGCUGAGGCAGGAGAAUCGCUUGAACCUGGGAGGUGGAGGUUGCAGUGAGCCAAGAUCGCGCCACUGCACUCCAGCCUGGGUGACAGUGCGGCGAGACUCCAUCUCAAAAAAAGGAAGAAAGAAAGAGAGAGAGAGCGAGAGAGAGAGAGGGAAGGAAGGAAGGAAAGAAAGGAAGGAAGAAAGAGAAAGAGGGAGGGAGGGAGAGAGAGAGAGAAAGGAAAGAAAGGAAGGAAGAGGGGGAGGAGAGGGAAGUGGAGGGAAGGGGAGGGAAGGGAAGCAGAGGGAAGGGAAGACCAGAAGCCAUUUGCUUUUACAUUUUAGAGCCCAAAGUACACUUGCACAGUCUUGCCUGAAGUUUGUGUCAACUUCUUGGUUCUCUGUCAUGAUGUAGUCCACAGAGACCUUGAUUAUCUUGACCUAGCACGUAACAAAGAAGUAGAAAGUACUUUUAGAUGCCUUAAUAAAACAUGAAAUAAAGGAUGGGAGGGAAAUAUCACAAAAACUCAUGGGCCUGGUACUUCAGAGAACUAUCUGGUGGUCCAAAUUCUGUAAAUCGGCUGGGCACGGUGGCUCAAACCUGUAAUCCCAGCACUUUGGGAGCCCAAGGCAGGCGGAUCACUUGAGGUCAGGAGUUAGAGACCAGCCCGGCCAACAUGGUGAAACUCCGUCUCUACUAAAAAUACAAAAAUUAGCUGGGCGUGGUGGUACACGCCUGUAGUCCUAGCUACUUGGAAGGCUGAGGCUCUUGCUUGAACCUGGGAGGCAGAGGUUGCAGUGAGCCGAGAUCGCGCCACUGCUCUCCAGCCUGGCAACAGAGCAAGACUCUGCCUCCAAAAAAAAAAAAAGUAAUAAUUAUAGGCCAGGCAUGGUGGUUCAUACCUGUAAUCCCAGCACUUUGGGAGGCCAAGGUGGGUGAGUUGCUUGAGCCCAGGAGUUCAAGACCAGCCUGGACAACAUGGUGAAACCCCAUCUCUACCAAAAAAAAAUUUUUUUAAUUAUAAAAUAAAUAUAAGAUGAAUAUAUUUAUAAAUAAUUUGUAGUUAUACAUACACAUAUAUAAAU
rnacentral:lncRNA from 10 species